rnacentral:rRNA from 1 species
CCUACGGGAGGCAGCAGUGAGGAAUAUUGGACAAUGGGGGGAACCCUGAUCCAGCGACGCCGCGUGAGUGAAGAAGUAUUUCGGUAUGUAAAGCUCUAUCAGCAGGGAAGAAAGAAAUGACGGUACCUGACUAAGAAGCCCCGGCUAACUACGUGCCAGCAGCCGCUGUAAGACGUAGGGGGCAAGCGUUAUUCGGAUUUACUGGGUGUAAAGGGAGCGUAGACGGCGAUGCAAGUCUGAAGUGAAAGGCGGGGGCCCAAACCCCGGACUGCUUUGGAAACUGGAUGGCUGGAGUGCAGGAGAGGUAAGUGGAAUGCGUAGUGUAGCGGUGAAAUGUGUAGAUAUUAGGAGGAACACCAGUGGCGAAGGCGGCUUACUGGACUGUAACUGACGUUGAGGCUCGAAAGUGUGGGGAGCAAACAGGAUUAGAUACCCCAGUAGUC